rnacentral:rRNA from 1 species
UACAGAGGUCUCAAGCGUUGUUCGGAUUCAUUGGGCGUAAAGGGUGUGUAGGUGGCGCCGUAAGUCGGGUGUGAAAUUUCGGAGCUUAACUCCGAAACUGCACUUGAUACUGCCUUGCUAGAGUACUGGAGAGGAGAUUGGAAUUUACGGUGUAGCAGUGAAAUGCGUAGAUAUCGUAAGGAAGACCAGUGGCGAAGGCGAAUCUCUGGACAGUUCCUGACGCUGAGGCACGAAGGUCAGGGGAGCAAACGGG